rnacentral:lncRNA from 1 species
AACCUAUAACAAGCAAAGGAGUUUGUGGUUAAUAUCCCAGAGGAUAUUUCUGUCUCUGUGUUGAAGACUGUGUGAGGUGUGCUGUGAAGACUGUUGUGACUAAUGUUUUGGAAGCGGGCCUGGUGCUGCAGUUUGGGUGCUGAAGUUUUUUUUGUUUUUUUUGAAAAAUGUGUAUUUUGUGGCAGUCCUCAUUGAUGCCUG